CCCUGGCUCAGAUUGAACGCUGGCGGCAGGCCUAACACAUGCAAGUCGAGCGGCAGCACGGGUACUUGUACCUGGUGGCGAGCGGCGGACGGGUGAGUAAUGCCUAGGAAUCUGCCUGGUAGUGGGGGAUAACGCUCGGAAACGGACGCUAAUACCGCAUACGUCCUACGGGAGAAAGCAGGGGACCUUCGGGCCUUGCGCUAUCAGAUGAGCCUAGGUCGGAUUAGCUAGUUGGUGAGGUAAUGGCUCACCAAGGCGACGAUCCGUAACUGGUCUGAGAGGAUGAUCAGUCACACUGGAACUGAGACACGGUCCAGACUCCUACGGGAGGCAGCAGUGGGGAAUAUUGGACAAUGGGCGAAAGCCUGAUCCAGCCAUGCCGCGUGUGUGAAGAAGGUCUUCGGAUUGUAAAGCACUUUAAGUUGGGAGGAAGGGCAGUUACCUAAUACGUAUCUGUUUUGACGUUACCGACAGAAUAAGCAC
rnacentral:rRNA from 1 species